CUGUCAUUCCUCCUUCAGCUUAUCUUGACACCCAGCUGCUUCUGCUGCUGAAGGGAAAACCUGCUGUUUUGAACUCCUCUGCCCCCCUGCUGGAAGGCAGCUAAAGGAAGAAGUCAGAUGCUGGGGACAUUGUGUGGCCAAUGAAGGCCAAUUUUAGUCUGCAGGAGCCUGAAAGACUGGUACAAAAGGCCACCGAAGACUCUCAGCUACUGUUUUGGCUGCAGCUUCCAAAGGAGAUCAUGCCAAGAAGCUUAAAGUGUGGAACAGGAUCCUGCAUUUGCCUACGUCAGUGCCCUUGGAGACUGAAAGUGGGAUAUAGGGAUCUCAAGCCCCAGGGGACAGUGGAAAAGGAUAGUGAAAAGAGAGUUGGCAGAACAUCCGACAGCUGUUCAAGCAACUGUUUGGGAGUCAAUGCAACCACUUCUUAUGCACUCAGCCUUCCUGGUCACUAGCCGUCCUUGAACAAGCCAUACAAGCUGUCGGGUUGCCUUACUGUUUCUCAUCAUGCCUACUAUAACAACAGUAUCCGGUUAGCAUCUUGACUCAGGGAGGAGGAGGGAGCAGAGCUAUGUUGAGCUGCUGGACUCCUUGCUUCUUCCUUGGCCUCCCCUGCUGUGAGACUGGCAAACAGAGGGGAGAAUUUCUGACAGCUUCCUUCUGGUGGGGCUGAACUUUGCAAGAGGGCCAGAGCUACUUGCAGCAGUUUGAGACAAGCUCCCAAACCCCCUGAGUGACAUCCAGGCAUUUGGGGGGGGAGAGAGGGGGAAUCCCUGUAUUCCUCUUGUGGGGAGAGAAGAGCAUGUAGGAUUUUAUUUGCUUGGAUGGGCAGAAUGAUUUUUUUAGAGGAAAAACUGACUAAAAAAUUCUGCUCUAUAGGGUCUCACCAGUUACUCGCCCCUUUAGAAUCUUGAUCACAUCAGCCAGGUCAGAGGCCCCCAUUCUGAAAGCCCCAACAUCCGCACUAGAGCGGGUUGAAAAACUUGCGGUGUGCCGAAUUCAGGAUGAUUUUUCAAAAUUUCCCCCCAACCCCCUUACUUUUGCAAUUCAGAACUUCACAGAUUUUUGUUUAAAAUGGGCUAAUAGCUCUGCUAUUGGUAGGAAAAUGUGGGAAAACAUUAGGAAAAAUGUAAACAAUUUUUUUUGUUAAUUUCAAAAUUUGAAAUUGUCAAAAUCUGAUGAUUUCUGAGCAGUUCCAGUGGAAACCUAUUUUAAAGAAAGGAACCAGCUUUCCCUUAACCACAAGGACCACAGAUGUGGGAGAGAAUCAUGGGGGGCAGAAAGGAGCUUUACUUUGUGGGAAUGUGUAUGCAGGGGCAGUGAUGCAACUCCCUCCCUCAAAGUUGUUUUGAGCUGCUCAAAGGUUGGAUCAUGCCCAGAGUCCCACCAGUUACCUGUAUGCUCCCCUAGCAUGUCUUUAACUGGCUGCAAACCUCCCUACCUUCAUCACCCCGCCUCGCCCCCUGACAGAGGAUCACAUCACAGGUCCCCUACAGGCCCUUUUCUAGCAUUGUAGUACUGGAGACCAGAUGCACCAGAUAUUUAAAAAAAAAACAAACAAAACCCAAAACUGCUGGCAUGUGUGGUAAAAAUAAAGGUUAUAACAAAUGGGGUUAUAACAAAGAUUAUAACAAAACGUCACUCGCAUUAUUCUAUUAUUAAUAUAUAUUUUUUAAAAAUAACAAGCUCUGAUUCUGCAGUUUUACACACACAUGCUUAAC